rnacentral:rRNA from 1 species
GACGAACGCUGGCGGCGUGCUUAACACAUGCAAGUCGAACGGAAAGGCCCUGCUUUUGUGGGGUGCUCGAGUGGCGAACGGGUGAGUAACACGUGAGUAACCUGCCCUUGACUUUGGGAUAACUUCAGGAAACUGGGGCUAAUACCGGAUAGGAGCUCCUGCUGCAUGGUGGGGGUUGGAAAGUUUCGGCGGUUGGGGAUGGACUCGCGGCUUAUCAGCUUGUUGGUGGGGUAGUGGCUUACCGAGGCUUUGACGGGUAGCCGGCCUGAGAGGGUGACCGGCGACAUUGGGACUGAGAUACGGCCCAGACUCCUACGGGAGGCAGAAGUGGGGAAUAUGGCACAGUGGGCGGAAGCCUGAUGCAGCAACGCCGCGUGCGGGAUGACGGCCUUCGGGUAGUAAACCGCUUUCGCCUGUGACGAAGCGUGAGUGACGGUAAUGGGUAAAGAAGCACCGGCUAACUACGUG